rnacentral:rRNA from 1 species
AGUGAACGCUGGCGGUAGGCCUAACACAUGCAAGUCGAACGGCAGCACAGUAAGAGCUUGCUCUUACGGGUGGCGAGUGGAGGACGGGUGAGGAAUACAUCGGAAUCUACUUUUUCGUGGGGGAUAACGUAGGGAAACUUACGCUAAUACCGCAUACGACCUACGGGUGAAAGCAGGGGAUCUUCGGACCUUGCGCGAUUGAAUGAGCCGAUGUCGGAUUAGCUAGUUGGCGGGGUAAAGGCCCACCAAGGCGACGAUCCGUAGCUGGUAUGAGAGGAUGAUCAGCCACAGUGGAACUGAGACACGGUCCAGACUCCUACGGGAGGCAGCAGUGGGGAAUAUUGGACAAUGGGCGCAAGCCUGAUCCAGACAUACCGCGUGAGUGAAGAAGGCCUUCGGGUUGUAAAGCCCUUUUGUUGGGAAAGAAAAGCAGCAGGUUAAUACCCCGCUGUUCUGACGGUACCCAAAGAAUAAGCACCGGCUAACUUCGUG